rnacentral:rRNA from 1 species
UACGUAGGGGGCAAGCGUUGUCCGGAUUCAUUGGGCGUAAAGAGCGUGUAGGCGGCCAGGUAGGUCGGUUGUGAAAACUGGAGGCUCAACCUUCAGAGGUCGACCGAAACCAUCUGGCUAGAGUCCGGGAGAGGAGAGUGGAAUUCCUGGUGUAGCGGUGAAAUGCGCAGAUAUCAGGAAGAACACCAAUGGCGAAGGCAGCUCUCUGGGACGGUACUGACGCUGAGACGCGAAAGCGUGGGGAGCGAACAGG